AUGUCGUUCCUCGGCUGCCAUUCUCGGGAAGUAGGCGAGCGAGCAUGGCUCCGUCCGGGUAUUAGUUACUACUGCGCCGCCUCCGUGCUGCCGUGCGCUGAGGACAACGUCCCAUCCUCGGUCUCCCCGACGACGAGGAGUGUUCCUGGGCGGCGGCGGCAGCCGGUGACCAGCUCGCAGCGCAUGCCCCCCGCCACCGCCGAUGGCGCGGCAGAGGGGUUCCUGGUGGACCACCCCGUGCAGUUCGAUGACUGCGUGAUGGCGCUCGUCGAGACGAAGAAGGAGCACAUGCCCGCCGACGGGUACCCCCAGAUGCUGCGGUGGCCGCUCGGGGACCUGGAUUUGGCUGCUGUCAGGAGGGACGCCAUAGAUUGGAUUUGGAAAGUGAGUCCCCGCAUCUUGAUUUGA
rnacentral:rRNA from 1 species